CACAAGAUAGCGCCGACUGAAGGACGUCGUAGUAGGUGUUCACUGUCACCAGAUGGCGAGAGAGCUCCAAUUUUCCUUUUUAUGUGCUGCUGCUCAGCAGUUUGACCUAGAGCUGACUGUCACGGACUGUAGUGAAACUGUCAAGAAGUGGCUUCAUUACACACCAGAACGGGAGGAAGGCAUGGCAAGGAACCAAAGUGACGCCAACCAGAGUCAAACUUGUACUGUUUUCCUGGUUCAUACAGUACAAAGCUCAACCUCAUGGAUGUUGUUCUUCCAUGGACAAUAGACUGUUGUUUUGACAGUAAAAAAGGAGUCAAAUGUGUUUAAAGAUCUAUCCCUCUUUUUUUAAAUAAAAUGUUAUAUCAAU